GCUCUCCUGGUGAAAUGGUAGACACGCUGGUUUUAGGAACCAGUGCCUAUGGCGUGAGGGUUCAACUCCCUCGGAGAGCA
rnacentral:tRNA from 1 species